UACAGAGGUCCCAAGCGUUGUUCGGAUUCAUUGGGCGUAAAGGGUGCGUAGGCGGCGGGGUAAGUCAGGUGUGAAAUCCCGGAGCUCAACUCCGGAACUGCACUUGAUACUGCCUUGCUCGAGUACUGGAGAGGAGACUGGAAUUUACGGUGUAGCAGUGAAAUGCGUAGAUAUCGAGAGGAACACCUGCGGCGAAGGCGGGUUGCUGGGCUGACACUGACGCUGAAGCGCGAAAGCUAGGGGAGCGAACGGG
rnacentral:rRNA from 1 species